AGAAUGAACGUUGGCGGCGUGGAUUAGGCAUGCAAGUCGCGCGCCCCGCAAGGGGAGCGGCGCAAGGGUGAGUAAGGCGACGGUAACCAACCCCCUGGAUGGGCAUAGCCGCGGGAAACUGCGGGUAAUUCCCAGCGAAGUGCGGAGUCGGCAUCGACUCUUCACCAAAGUUCAGGCGCCGGGGGACGGGCCGUCGUGGUAUUAGCUAGUUGGCGGGGUGACGGCCCACCAAGGCGGCGAUGCCUACCGGGCGUGCGAGCGUGGCCCGGCACACUGGGACUGAGACACUGCCCAGACUCUUACGGGAGGCUGCAGUCGAGAAUCUUCGGCAAUGGGCGCAAGCCUGACCGAGCGACGCCGCGUGGAGGACGAAGGCCUUCGGGUUGUAAACUCCGUGUCGGAGGGGGAGGAAGCCGCAAGGUUGACCGAUCCCUGGAGGAAGCACGGGCUAAGUUCGUGCCAGCAGCCGC
rnacentral:rRNA from 1 species